GCCUAGCCGUAACACACAAUUAAAUAACCAAUUGUUCGCCAAACAACUACGAGCUAUACUUGAAACUUAAAAGACUUGACGGUACUUCAUCACGGCCUAGAGGAGCCUGUCUAAUAACCGACAAUCCACGAUUAACCCAACCCCUUCUUGCCCAACAGUCUAUAUACCGCCGUCGCCAGCUUACCUUGUAAAAGAAAUAAAGUGAGCUAAAUAAUACAACACUAAAACGACAGGUCGAGGUGUAACUUAUGAAGGGGCCAAGAUGGGCUACAUUCUCCCCGAGAAUACGAAUAACACUAUGAAAUUAGUGCUUGAAGGCGGAUUUAGCAGUAAGCUAAGAAUAAAAUACUUAACUGAACAUAACGCAAUGAAGUGCGUACACACCGCCCGUCAUCCCUGCCAUCAUAAUAUAAACCUUAAUAAACCAACUUAAGAGCUAAUUCAGGGCAAGUCGUAACAUGGUAAGUGUACUGGAAAGUGUACUUAGAAA
rnacentral:rRNA from 1 species